AAUACAGAGGUCCCAAGCGUUGUUCGGAUUCACUGGGCGUAAAGGGUGCGUAGGCGGCCGGGUAAGUCUGUUGUGAAAUCCCGCAGCUCAACUGCGGAACUGCAGUGGAUACUAUCCGGCUCGAGGAAUGGAGGGGAGACUGGAAUUCUCGGUGUAGCAGUGAAAUGCGUAGAUAUCGAGAGGAACACCAGUGGCGAAGGCGAGUCUCUGGACAUUUCCUGACGCUGAGGCACGAAAGCCAGGGGAGCAAACG
rnacentral:rRNA from 1 species